AAUGAACGCUGGCGGCGUGCCUAACACAUGCAAGUCGAACGAGAAUGUUUCCUUCGGGAAGCUAGUAAAGUGGCAGACGGGUGAGUAACACGUGGAUAACCUACCCUCGAGUGUGGAAUAACCCCGCGAAAGUGGGGCUAAUACCGCAUAACAUUUCUUUCUCCCAAGAGUUGGAAAUCAAAGGUGGCCUCUGACAUAAGCUAUCGCUUGAGGACGGGUCCGCGCACCAUUAGCUUGUUGGUGGGGGUAAUGGCCUACCAAGGCGGCGAUGGUUAGCCGGCCUGAGAGGGUGAACGGCCACACUGGAACUGAGACACGGUCCAGACUCCUACGGGAGGCAGCAGUGGGGAAUUUUUCGCAAUGGGCGAAAGCCUGACGAAGCAACGCCGCGUGGAUGAUGAAGGCUUUCGGGUCGUAAAAUCCUGUCGGCAGGUAUGAAACUUCUGGUAACUAAUAACUACCAGAAUUGACAGUACCUGCUGAGAAAGCCCCGGCUAACUCCGUG
rnacentral:rRNA from 1 species